rnacentral:rRNA from 1 species
GUAACUUAUAGAUAAAGAGUCGUGCCUGCCCAGUGAAUUUUUUUAACGGCCGCAGUACCCUGACUGUGCUAAGGUAGCAUAAUCACUUGUUUUUUAAUUGAAAGCUUGUAUGAAUGGCUUGACGCAGGUAAAGCUGUCUCUUUUAUAUUAAAUAAAAAUUAAUCUUUAAGUGCAGAAGCUUAAAUACAACCAAAAGACGAAAAGACCCUAUCGAGCUUGAAAAUUAUAAUUAAAUUAAAUUUAUAGUAAAAUAAUUUUUAAUUAAUUUUUUUUGUUGGGGCGACAAAAGAACAAAUAAAGCUUCUUUUUAUUUUAUAAAUUUAUAAAUUUAUAGAUCCAUAAUUUAUGACUAAAAGAAAAAGCUACCGUAGGGAUAACAGCGUUAUUUUUUCAAAGAGUUCUUAUCG